UAGAUUACCUGCUGCGAGUUUUUUUUUUUUAAUACUACCCUUCCCUAUGGGGUUAUGCGAAAGCUUGUCCCCCGAAGACGAGAUGCGCGAAUACAAAGACGAGGCCGACAAGCCUGCCAGGCAGUCCGGAUCCGUGUAGAGUCUCACCGCAGGCUCCCAAUGAUGUAUGUAGGCGCGCCGAAGCAAUCCCGAUUACGUAUAGGAGCCCACAAGAGAGCCUCCAAUGAUGGACCUCGAAACCACCAACGCGAGAUGCCUCUAAUCGCCUUUUACGACACGCUAGGUCAAACGGCGGGCAUAUUCUAACCCCUUACCCACAAGA
rnacentral:lncRNA from 1 species